UUGUGUUACAAGAAGUUCCGAAACGUGCCAUAAGGGACACCCAACAAGAUGGAUGGGCCCAGCCAGGUGGAGAGGGACGCUUUGCAAUGGGAGAGCUGCAUACCUUCCAUCAGAUGGGUGUGUCCGAGAGAAAACCUUUAGAGAAGAGUCUGCACACGAUUAAAACAGGAGGAGAGAGAGCCUUCUUGUGGGAAAGUCUCAGCAAACUAAGGAGAUGCAGGGACCAUCGGAGCCCUCUCCAUGCCUUGCUGAUCAUUUUUAAGCGGUAACGACCUCCACCUCCCAUCUGAGAGCAUUGGCACUGCCCAUCGGUAGAGAGAAAGGACCAGAGCCAGUCCCCAGAGAGGCUGCACGUGGAAAGAUGGCCACAGGCCCCAGCUUUUAAAAGCCACUGUUGAAGGAAUGGUGUGUGUGUGUGUGUGUGUGUGUGUGAGAGAGAGAGAGAGAGA